CUUGCAUAGAAAAGAAUGUUUAUCCCACAGACUCUUCCUUUUUCCCAGCAAUGUUCUCAGGAUUGUAUUUGUCUCUGCCCUAAUUGACCCCACCCCUCACCCUGUAGUCUUUUCCUCAAUCCUCAAUUCUGGAGUUGCAUAGAGUAAAAUUGGGUCUGAACAGACAGGAAUGUGGAACUCUACGUUCCAGUUAGUUAGGGAGUGUGAUCCUGGGAGCUCCAAUGUAUAAACAUCCUUCCCAAGCAAAUAAACUGUCCCAUGGCCAUGCUGAGCUUUGCAACCUGACUCCCCAAAGGACUGUUUAUGUAGCCUGUGGGUAUGUGCUGUGUUCUUCUGGCCUCACACUCACCAAGGGUGUAUUGGCUUGAGGAUGGGGGCUUGGGGAUGGGGGCUGACAUUGGUUUCCACUUUGGGCUCUGUGGAGAGAGAGGAGCUGCCCUAGAGCUCUUCCCAUGGAGUCAAAAGGCUAAGAGACUGCCUUUCCUCUGCCUUCCUGAGUGGCAAGGUAUGCCAGUGAGAAAAAUGAUGUUCUGGCCUUGGAACCACCUCCCAUGGGACCAGAUGCCAAGGCUGACCAGGAGGAUUGGAAGUUCUAAGAAAACACUUCUCUCCAUCUCUCUGAUCAGUUUUCCAUCAGGAACUCUUCUUCUAGGAUGGUUGGCAGAGUCUGAUGUGCAUUUUUUUGACUAUCCUCAGGGGUAA
ensembl:lncRNA